UACGUAGGGUGCGAGCGUUAUCCGGAAUCAUUGGGCGUAAAGAGCUCGUAGGCGGUUCAGCAAGUCGGCUGUGAAAGUCCGAGGCUCAACCUCGGAAUUGCAGUCGAUACUGCUGUGACUCGAGUCCGGUAGAGGAGAAUGGAAUUCUCGGUGUAGCGGUGAAAUGCGCAGAUAUCGAGAGGAACACCAGUAGCGAAGGCGGUUCUCUGGGCCGGCACUGACGCUGAGGAGCGAAAGCGUGGGGAGCAAACAGGAUUAGAUACCCCCGUAGUCC
rnacentral:rRNA from 1 species